rnacentral:lncRNA from 1 species
ACAACGUGACGCUGAAGAACGGAGCAUAUUCUCCAAUCCUAAAGAAAAAAGGUGUUGGCCCACGGACUCGCCACAGUCACGUCUGACCAAAUCACCACCACAUAUGAGACACAGAUACGUGGUGGGUUCGGCAUCUGCCCCUACAUCCACGGAGAGGAACAAAUAAUUCACUAUCACAGGAAUGGAAUUACAAGAGUACAAUAGGGAGGAGCUCAUCUCACUCACCUCUCAGCACUCUCUCAUCUCUCACCAUCUCACGUCUCUCUCAGAAUCUCACAGCUACCAAUUCUAGCCACUCUCAGUCAGAUCUCUCGGUGCUCUCGGUGACUCUCACUAGCACCAUAGCACUCCCCCACAGCCCUUCUGAACAGCAUUCUGCUGUCGUUGCCCCUAUCAAUUCCCCUAGAGUACAUCUUUUUCCCCGCUCUCUCUGCAUCUUCUCUGCUCUCAUUUAUUAGAGGAGAUGUGCUCCAUCUUGACAACUCUUCUAGCAGCCUUUAUUCUCUCUCUGCCAUUCUUUUCUUCCUCCUCUGCCUCUCUUUUCUUCCUCGCUCAAAUGGAGGACUUUCGUCUUGACCAAGCUUAAAAAAUGGAGGACUUCAUCUAAAAGAAAGAAGGAUGGAUGAAGACUUGCAUUUGGCCAGGGGCUGUGGCUUUGGUUGGGCCUGUAAUGGGCGGGAACCCAAACAAAGGAUUCCAGUUAAUGGAUGCAUAUUACCAGUCCCUUAAUGCUGUUAAUAUGCCAUGGAUGUAUAUUAUUUGUGAUCCCAGUUGUGGUUGUUAUUUUGUAAUGAGGCUGCUUUCAUUUGUAUUUUACCAAAUUAAAUUGUGUUUGGACAAAGAUGGGAUCUUUUUCAAUCUAUCUGGUGUCAAGUCACAUGCUCUAAGCCUCUAGCAAUCGAUCAUAUUUUAGGAUUCUCUAAUUUCCAUAUGUUUCGCUGUUGUGGGUACUUCCUUGAACUGUUGGAGAACUUAAAUUCUAAAACUCGACCAGUCUGUGUGAAAUUGCUGAUUGUGAGCUUUCUGCAGAACAAAGCGAACAAUAGAAGCAGCAUAGCAAAAAUACAGCCACAUUGCGAUAUUUCAUCAAACACUUGGGAGGCAUUCUGUACUUUGAAGUUUCAACAAAAAACAACCAACAAUAAAUAAUUCAACCAACGUUGUACCUGAGUUCCACUCAAGACCACCGUUACCAAUACGAAUUCAGAAGCAUAUACACGCACGCAGAAACGAGGAAGGUUUUCCCAGAGAGAGAGAGAGAAGCGAGGAAAUCCAGAACCAUAUACACGCACACAGCAACGUGGAUUCAGUACGAGGAAGACGAAGGGUUUCCCACAGAGAGAGAGAGAGAGAGAAGCGAGUAACGAGGAAUAAUUGAGGUCGGCGAGCCAUCGCAGGCUAGGGUUUGUUCGAUGACGGAGAUUCACCAGAUAUGAUUUUUCUUUCGAAAAUUACAGUAAAUCCCCCUUAUUUUCAGGAAAUUACAUUUUGGAUUUACAUAGAUUAAAGGGGCUUAGGUGGUGUGUUUUAAACAUUAAGGGGUUUAACGCAAUUUACCUUUUCCUUCGGCCUUGUGUCAUUGAUUUCUCUAAUUCGGCCAACAUUUUUUUCUGCUUCAUUUUAUUUUUUUCUUUCUUUAUUAUUUUUCUUCAAAAUUUAGAAAACAAAAUGAUUUUUUAGAAUGCUGACUAAACGAAAAAUAAGCAAUUUUUUAAAAGAAAAAAAUGCUUUUUCUUAAGAUUUUUUUUCAAAUUUAAUCAAACUUUUUAUUUUUUAGAAAGUACAAAAUACGAGAAAAAUCUUAAGAGAGAGAGAAAGAGAGAGAGAGAGAGAGUUCAAUAAAGACUAAAAUCCAAAGCAAACCAGGCUUAAUAAAUGAACAUAUUACACUCAUUGUAACAUGGAUUUGCUAAAAUCAUUCAUAUCCAAAUUGUAACUUCCAGAAUCAAUAAAAAUCAU